AAAGGAAUAUGGAACCAAUAUGAAUUACAAUUUGUGUUUUCUUCAACAUUUCAUAACAUUACUAAGACAUAAAAAAUUAUAAAAGCUACAUGGUUAAAAAGUACCAUUUUGGCCAAGUGUGGUGGCUCAUGACUGUAGUCCCAGCAUUUUGGGAGGCUGAGGUGGGAGGAAGGCUGGAGCCCAGGAGUUUGAGGUUGCAGUGAGCUGUGAUCACAGUUGCACUACAGCCUGGGCAACAGAGUGAGACCUUGCCUCAACAAAAAAGUACAAUUGUUUGAAAGAAUGUAUACAUGUUUUUUACUUUUUAAUGGAGUAUAUUGUUUUUAAACAGUCCUUGGUAGAGAGAAUUUUUUCUUGGAUAAAAGGGAGGUAUUUUUGUUAAGUACAUCUGGGCACCCUAAAAAAUUUCAUGGUUUAUGUCCACUCAUUACCGGAUGGGAGAAAAGUUGCUACCAUAAAGUAUGUGGUUUGUAGGAGUUCCUAAAAUAAAACCCUUCAGUUUUCCACCCUGAAGUCAGCUUUUGGUCAUACCGGGUUAUGUACAUGUGUAGUGGAUUCAUGCCAUACCUUUGGAAGGCCAGCAGAGGGAGCACUACUCAAUGUACAGUGUUUACUGUACUGCUAAGAAUAGUAUUUUCUAUGGUUCAGUACAAAAUGAAAACAAAAUUAAAUUUCACAACUCCUCCAAACAAAACCAAAACAAAUUUUUUCAUUUUAUUCCUGAGUUCAGGUUUCAGACAUGCUGUUUAUUAGUGACUGAGCAGAUUAUUUUAUUUCUGUGUACUUUUUUGCCUAUGUAUGAAGACUACUCAGUUACCCUAUUUUAGAGGGUUGGUUGGUUUGUUUUGCAACAGAGUCUCACUUUGUCACCCAGGCUGGAGUGCGGUGGCAUGAUUGUAGCUCACUGCAGCCUUGACAUCCCGGGUUUGAGCGAUUCUCCCACCUCAGCCUCCCGAGUGUGCGCCACCUCCCGUGUCAGACUACAGGUGUGUGCCACCACACCCAGCUAAUUUUUGUAUGUUUUGUAGAAAUGUGGUUUCACUAUGUUGCCCAGGCUGGUCUUGAACCCCUGGGCUCAAGUAGUCCUUCUGCCUUGGCCUCCCAAAGGGCUGGAAUUACAGAUGUGAGCCCCCAUGCUCCGUUAGAGUUGUGUUUUUAGAUUUUUAAAUUAGUAUGGAUACAUACUAGUUUUACAUAUUUUUGAGGUAGAUAUGAUAUUUUGAUACAAGCAUAUAAAAGGUAAUGAUCAAAUCAGGGUAAUUGGAGUAUCCAUUGCCUGAAGCAUUUAUCAUCUUUGUGUUGGGAACAUUCCAAUUCCACUGUCAUAAUUGUUUUGAAAUCUAUAGUAAAUGAUUGGUAACUAUAAUUGCCCUAUAGAGUUAUGUUGUCAGUCUACUUAGUGGUCUAGCAAAGAGGAAGAAGCAUAGUAAUUGACUCAAAUUCCAUGUGGAAAAUAGAGAAAGUUUAGAGAGCUAACUUAGUGUAAAACUUAAAAGUAUUUCUGACUGUAAAUUCUACCAUUAAAACAAAAAACACCCGUGAACCCACAAGGAUAAAAUAAUGUGUUUGUCCCUGCCCUUACUUGCAUGUCCUGGGUGAGGCUGGUUGAUGGUACAGUGUUGUAGAAUAAUUGCAGAAUUCUAUUUACCUGGACGUUUGCUGAGAAAACAAUGUUUGAGGUGGUGUAAGUUUUUGGAAAGCAAACAUUUGACAGAGUCCUUAUAAUUGGUUUUCAUUUUCCAUCCUUUAUUCUCUUUAGGUUCUAAAAUAUUGCAUAAGACCAUCUGAAAA